rnacentral:misc_RNA from 1 species
GUGAAUCAUCAAAUCUUUGAACGCAAAUUACGCCUUUUUCGGAAGGCAUGUCUGUUUGAGGGCACCAUUUAACAAAUAAUGUGCAGCGUUUUUUGUUGCACACGUUGAUGAGCUUUCCAAGAAUUUUAAAUUUUUGGUGGCGCAUAAUGAACAGCGUGAAAGUUUUUUUUAGGUUGAAUUGUAUUAAAUUUUUUCUUUGGUUGUUGAAAAACCUAAUC